rnacentral:rRNA from 1 species
UACGAAGGGGGCUAGUGUUGUUCGGAAUCACUGGGCGUAAAGCGCACGUAGGCGGAUCUUUAAGUCAGGGGUGAAAUCCCGAGGCUCAACCUCGGAACUGCCUUUGAUACUGGGGAUCUCGAGUCCGGGAGAGGUGAGUGGAACUGCGAGUGUAGAGGUGAAAUUCGUAGAUAUUCGCAAGAACACCAGUGGCGAAGGCGGCUCACUGGCCCGGUACUGACGCUGAGGUGCGAAAGCGUGGGGAGCAAACAGG